rnacentral:lncRNA from 1 species
CAUGGAUGUUACCCCCUUCAUUCCUUUUUAUAAAAUGCCUUAGUUUUUGUCUUCUUCCUUUUUCAAAAAAGGGUAACUCUCGUUCUCUGCGUUGAUGCACAUAACGAAAAAUUACUAAAAUCCAAGCAACGCCAGGUAUUGAAGCCGAACAAGUCGGAAAAAAAAAACCCGAGGCCGUAUGCCUCGGACUAAUUAACCGUAUGGUAAAAUCCUGAAACAAAUGAAGAGUACACCACUCA